GACGAACGCUGGCGGCGUGCCUAAUACAUGCAAGUCGAACGAACGGAUUGAGGAGCUUGCUCUUCAUGAAGUUAGUGGCGGACGGGUGAGUAACACGUGGGUAACCUGCCCUUCAGUGGGGGAUAACAUCCGGAAACGGGUGCUAAUACCGCAUAGUUUCUUUUUCCGCCUGGAAGAAGAAGGAAAGAUGGCCUUUGCGCUAUCACUGAGGGAUGGACCCGCGGCGUAUUAGUUAGUUGGUGGGGUAAUGGCCUACCAAGACGAUGAUACAUAGCCGACCUGAGAGGGUGAUCGGCCACACUGGAACUGAGACACGGUCCAG
rnacentral:rRNA from 1 species